rnacentral:rRNA from 1 species
GGUGACGGGGGGGCAGGAGUCGAGGGAAGAGAGGGUGGGCCAGCGUUAGUCGGAAUUAUGGGGCGUAAAUGGCGCGUAGGCGGUGAUUUAAGUGAGAUGUGGAAUCCCCGGGCUUAACCUGGGAACUGCAUCUCAGACUGGAUCGCUAGAGUGCUGGAGAGGGUGGUAGAAUUCCACGUGUAGCGGUGAAAUGCGUAGAGAUGUGGAGGAAUACCAGUGGCGAAGGCGGCCACCUGGACAGUAACUGACGCUGAGGCGCGAAAGUGUGGGUAGCAAACAGGAUUAGAUACCCCUGUAGUC